UUUUUUUUUCUUUUUGCUUUGCCCACACCAUGCAGAAGUUCCUGGACCAGGAACCAAACUUGCACCACAAUGACCUGAGCCACAGCUGUGACAAUGCCAGAUCCUUUUAACUGCUAUACCACCAGGAAACUAUUUUUUUUUUCAAUAUCAUUUAAGAUGAAUCAUUUACAUAGUCAUGGUAAAAAGUUUUCUGGUAUAGAAGAGAUUAUUUUUAUUUUUAAAGUGCUGGAGAAGGUAUUAAAAUUCCGGUCAGAAAUAAAAAAUUCUUUAAAAAGUUCAUAUUAAGCCAAUUUUAAUUAACUUUUGGGAAAGAUUUAGGACUGGAAACAUAGUAUCAGUACGGCAAUAUCAACAGCAUCUUUAUCAGGAGUCCUUAAAACAUCCAGUUCCUACUUCCCAAGCCCUUAGUCAAUUACAUAAGCCAGACUAAAUUGUAGAUGGACACAGUCCACUGCAGCACUCAUAACCACAUGGAAUUACAGCUCAUGCAUGCAGCUAAGCCCUAAACAAAGGGUACACUGAGUUGUUGUUAGAAGAGACAUCAUAAAGAGAAGCUGGAGGUCUAGUUUCCUACAAAUGUUAUGCUGGUAAAACAGUGACACAGUAAUGCAGUUCCUUAGAGUAUAACAUGUGCUUCCAUAAUCCUCUCAGUCCAGAUGUAAUUCAUCAAUCACAGGUAAUUUCACAAUAAAUACUGUUGUUUAGUAUCAGAACUGAAAUAUCACAUUUAUCUUGUGAUAUCUAAGAGAAACUAUACUAAAAGAAGGCAAACCUGAGGUCAUCUUUCCAAAGGAAAAAAAAUCUUACGCCUGCAAUUUUUUUCUCUGCAGGUUCCAAUAACACAUGUUAGCGUUUUCACUGUGUUCUCAUGUCUCUUAUACUUUCCAUCAUUUUGUUUCUCAACACUUUAGUCUAUACCAUCUUCUGACCUAUCUUCUAGUUCACCAAUUCUCUCUUCAACAGAAUCUAUUAAACCAUCCAUCCAUAGAGUUCUAUUUCAAUUAUUAUAUUUUUCAGUAAUAGAAUUUCUUUUUUUUUAAUAUAGAUUCCUGUUCUCAGCUAAAAUUUUGCAACUUGAACAUAUUUUUUUUUUCAGCUGUGCCCAUGGCAUGCAGAAUAUC
rnacentral:lncRNA from 1 species